rnacentral:rRNA from 1 species
AUUGAACGCUGGCGGCAUGCCUUACACAUGCAAGUCGAACGGCAGCACGGGGCAACCUGGUGGCGAGUGGCGAACGGGUGAGUAAUGCAUCGGAACGUGCCAUUGAGUGGGGGAUAACGUAGCGAAAGUUGCGCUAAUACCGCAUAUUCUGUGAGCAGGAAAGCAGGGGGACCGCAAGGCCUUGCGCUCUUUGAGCGGCCGAUGUCAGAUUAGCUAGUUGGUGAGGUAACGGCUUACCAAGGCAACGAUCUGUAGCGGGUCUGAGAGGAUGAUCGCCACACUGGAACUGAGACACGGUCCAGACUCCUACGGAGCAGCAGUGGGGAAUUUUGGACAAUGGCGCAAGCUGAUCCAGCCAUGCCGCGUGAGUGAAG